UACGUAGGGGGCAAGCGUUGUCCGGAUUUACUGGGCGUAAAGCGCGCGUAGGCGGCCCGGUAAGUCCGCUCUGAAAGUCCAAGGCUCAACCUCGAGACGUCGGCGGAAACCAUCUGGCUAGAGUCCGGAAGAGGAGAGUGGAAUUCCUGGUGUAGCGGUGAAAUGCGCAGAUAUCAGGAAGAACACCCGUGGCGAAGGCGGGUCUCUGGGCCGUAACUGACGCUGAGGAGCGAAAGCGUGGGGAGCGAACAGG
rnacentral:rRNA from 1 species